UGCCAGCAGCCGCGGUAAUACGAAGGGUGCUAGCGUUGUUCGGAAUUACUGGGCGUAAAGCGUACGUAGGCGGACUAUUAAGUUAGGGGUGAAAUCCCGGGGCUCAACCCCGGAACUGCCUCUAAUACUGGUAGUCUAGAGUUCGAGAGAGGUGAGUGGAAUACCGAGUGUAGAGGUGAAAUUCGUAGAUAUUCGGUGGAACACCAGUGGCGAAGGCGGCUCACUGGCUCGAUACUGACGCUGAGGUGCGAAAGCGCGGGGAGCAAACAGGAUUAGAUA
rnacentral:rRNA from 1 species